UCCUAAAAACCUGCAAUUACUGAAAAAAUCAUUUUAAAACCCUGUGUUACUUAAGUCAUUAUGGAAUAUAAGAUGGUAGAGUAUGAAUACCUUAUUCAUGAUAUCAUUUUUGCUUGGAGAAUUUACUCAAAAAUUCUAGCUACCAUCCACAAUGUUUUAUAUGCCUGAUAAACCUAAAAAUAUAAUUAUAAAAGCUAUCUAUUAUGUAUUGAGUUUGUUCGAAAUGAGUUAGACCCUUGUUGAGAGAUUUAUCAUGCUCCUG
rnacentral:lncRNA from 1 species